UCCUUUUCAUUUAGAGGAAGUAAAAGUCGUAACAAGGUUUCCGUAGGUGAACCUGCGGAAGGAUCAUUACAAGUGAGGCUACCGAACGUUGGAAACAGCGGUUAGGAGCUUACACCCACCCGUGUUUACAUACUAUUGUUGCUUUGGCGGGCCGUGGCCUCCACUGCGGGCUCUGCUCGUGUGUGCCCGCCAGAGAACCAAACUCUGAAUGUUAGUGAUGUCUGAGUACUAUCUAAUAGUUAAAACUUUCAACAACGGAUCUCUUGGUUCUGGCAUCGAUGAAGAUACGCAGCGAAAUGCGAUAAGUAAUGUGAAUUGCAGAUAUUCAGUGAAUCAUCGAAUCUUUGAACGCACAUUGCGCCCUGUGGUAUUCCGCAGGGCAUGCCUGUUCGAGCGUCAUUUAACCACUCACGCCUAGCGUGGUAUUGGGGCACGCGGUCUCCGCGGCCCUCAAAAUUAGUGGCGGCGCCGGUGGGCUCUAAGCGUAGUACAUACUCCCGCUAUAGAGUUCCCCCCGGUGGCUCGCCAGAACCCCCAAUUUUUUACAGGUUGACCUCGGAUCAGUUCUGGGAUACCGCUANCAAUC
rnacentral:rRNA from 1 species